GGCUUUUUGGGGAUCAUGCUACCAUGGCGAUGCCUUGCUAGAUAGUGGGCCGUGAUGGAUGGAGAAACUGAUGUCGGGAAUCCUCUGGAAACCUUCGCAAUCACCGGAAAUGAUGAGGAAUGAUGAGGAAUGAUGAGGAAUGAUGACAGCCGUAUGGAAGCAUUCCAGGCACCAGGAGGAGCCUGCCUGUCUGGGCAGCACAUCCAGCCACCCUCGCUCCCUCUCUUGGCCACGUGUUCCAACUUCCAUCCGUGACGUGUGCUGACCUGUCCCCCCUCCAUUCAGCCUGUUGGGGCGGAGAGAAAACCAAGAAUAUAGCUUGUGCAAACCUCAGAAUAGGAAAUCUACAAGGAUCUUAUGCGUGGAGUGGAUGUCCAAGAUCCCCAAUGGGGUAACUUCAACAGAUGAUGUACGACGUGAUGAUACAAACGGGGGGUUCCAUAUCCGUCACCCAGACUGUAUCUACUGUAGAAUCACACUUCAAUAUAGACAGUAGAUACAGUUUAAUGACAAACGUAUUCAGACAUGUAGAAUAUUGUUUUUGUGUGUUAGAUGUCUCACUUUACUUUUGUAGGUUUUCUUCCACAGACGUCUACGUGGCUUGCUGAACUUUGUCAACACAAAAACACUACACAUACACACAAUGUGAUUGAUGUCAGCUACUCCUGCAUCACCCUCCUGGACUGUGUCAAUGUAGAUCACACUGCCAUAAGUGAUUGGUCUGUGAGUAUGGCUAUUUUACACUGCAGUUUAGGUUUAUGUACAGUUACCUUGUAAACUACAAUACCCACACACACAUUCAUACACUCACACACACAUUCAGGCACUCACACAUACACACACACAUACACACACGCACACAAGUCCAGGCUCAUUAUCUUUCAGGUAACAUGUGUAUGAUUUGUGUGAUGUCUGUAACUCAACAUUAAUAUAUUCUCUGAACUGCCUAAGUCUUCUAUUGUCAUGAACCUUCAGGUAACAUUUGAUAUAGAUGUCUUGUCUAUACAUCCCAGUCACAUGGCAAGGAUGUCCCCUGAGACAUAUUACAUUACAGUACAUAAGUGACAGAGGCUGGGGGUUGUUCUUAAUUGCUCCUCCCAGAUGAAAUGCCUGUAAUCCAUGUUAGUGACCGAAGAGCGAGAGGUGAUCCAGGGAAAAUAAAUGAACCAUGUUUGAAACCCUGUUUCCUGAUCCAGCCUGUAUCUUACUCCCUAUGUAUCCAAGCCUGUAUCUUACUCCCUAUGUAUCCAAGCCUGUAUCUUACUCCCUAUGUAUCCAAGCCUGUAUCUUACUCCCUAUGUAUCCAAGCCUGUAUCUUACUCCCUAUGUAUCCAAGCCUGUAUCUUACUCCCUAUGUAUCCAAGCCUGUAUCUUACUCCCUAUGUAUCCAAGCCAGAACAAUGGGGCUUCAGGUUAUAUUGCUAUUGAUAUAGAAACUCCACCCUUCUUCGACAGGCGAGUCAGUCGUCUGCAAGAUAUGAACAUGGAGAACAUUUGUACCCCACACAAACAAGAUCCUUUCAUUCUUAUCCAUGUAAUAAUCUCAGUGUAAGCAGCCAAGGAGGGAAAGGCAUGCUAAAAGAGAGGAAGAAGAAGCUAAUGGUCCAUGGGGGAACAGAGACUGAAUCCUGGCAGAAACGACUGGCUGAACCCCCUGAAUGGCACCAUGAUGCCAGUUCAACUUCACCAGAUGAUGAAGCUCUUGACAGAUCCUCUUUAUUUAUUGAAUGAUAAUCUAACUACCUUCAUAACGGACCUCUUAGGUCGGAUUAGCCUCUGUCUCUAUACUGUAGGUCAGUGGUUCCCAACCUUUUCGGUUACUGUACCACCAACUGAAUUUUGAUCUUGCUAUUCUCAAGUACAGUACACCCUGUGGAUAGGCGUUCCUAGUACCCAUGUUUUUUAUUUUUUAUUUAAUUAAAUUUUUUAACCUUUA